rnacentral:rRNA from 1 species
AGAGUUUGAUCCUGGCUCAGGGUUAACGCUGGCGGCGCGCAUAACACAUGCAAGUCGAGCGAGGGCUCUUCUCCCGCAAGGGAGGGGAGUUCCUAGCGGCGAACGGGUGAGUAACACGUGGGCAACCUUUCCUAUCGCGGGGGAUAACAGCGGGAAACCGCUGCUAAUACCGCAUGUCGUCACCGGUCGCAUGGCCGGUGAACAAAGCAGCAAUGCACGAUGGGGUGGGCCCGCGGCCUAUCAGCUAGUCGGUGGGGUAACGGCCUACCGAGGCGAUGACGGGUAGCUGGUCUGAGAGGACGACCAGCCACACGGGGACUGAGACACGGCCCCGACUCCUACGGGAGGCAGCAGUGAGGAAUCUUCCGCAAUGGGCGAAAGCCUGACGGAGCGACGCCGCGUGUGGGAUGAAGUCCUUCGGGAUGUAAACCACUGUUGGAGGGGAAGAC